CUUCUCUGGGUGUACAGUAUCAAUUCCACUUUAAAAACAAAGGAGCCCCAUAAAUUGUGCUGUUGGUCUCCAAGUUCUUCAGGUUCAGCCCUGUGUGUUCCCAAAGCCCCUUUCCCUGUGGCACCAAGAGGUGGUAAGUAAAGUCUGGCCAGGGGACAGCUGCAUUUGUCUAUUGUAAGUCUCUUAGCUGUAGCCAUGGUCACCUCUAAACAUGUAUGUCUUCUUGACUCCACACUCUGCCAUGGAGGAGACCAGGAGCCCACUGCAUGGAAACUAUGCACAUCAUUUCAGCUCUCCUUUUACCUAGGAGUCUUGAGAACCUAGGCUGGGCUGCUGGCUUACCUGGGUUUUGAGCUGACGUUAGCAUUCUGGGGUGGAGUUACUCAUUCUGGGUUUGACUGCUGCACUCUCUUUUGAGAACAUGCUUGUGCUAAAAGGUGUGUGUGUGUGUGUGUGUGUGUGUGUGUGUGUGUGUGUAACGGGGGGGGGGGAGAGAGAGAGAGAGGACUUAUUACAGUCCUCAGAGGACCAAAGAGGCAAAGGGGAAUCAACUACAGAGCUGGGUCCUGUCCAACCCCACACACCUGCUCCCCCGCCAUGCCUGGCCCCCCAGUGCUGAGACAUCUGUUGUCAAGAGAUAAUACCUGAAACCAACAAAGCUGAGAAGUCCCCUUUUACUGGCUCUAUUCUCUCUUGACAGAUUAUAUGGGUUCUUUUCAUAUUUUCAAAGAACCCUCUUGGGGGAUUAGAAAAUUUAAUGUUUAAAUCACUGACGAUGAGAAACAAGCCAAGAAGAGCAUUUUUAAAAAGGGAUAGGAGGCCUGAUUUUGUUCCUGCCUGGGAGCCGCUCACUCCAUCCCAGCACUCAGAGGGGAAGUUUUCUCCUUAGGGAGCUGGCUGGGUGCAGCCUGGAAGUUCUGAAAACACAGAUGUCUCUGCGUUGCUGUGGAAAGACCACAGAGGCUUCUUCUCAAUUCCACAGCAAAGUCAUUCCACUGGAGUUCGUGGCUGACUUCCUUAGAAGAACAGUUCCCGUGAGAGAGGACAGAAUCCUGAGGGAUACGUGGUGGCAGCGAGGUCCUGAGCUGUCCCUAGUUAGCAUCUCCUGCCACAAAUCAGAAACAUGUGACUCAGUCUGGAAUGAGGCUGAUCAAAGCCUUCAUGGAACUAUUCACCCCAGCUAUGGAUGCAAGCACAGGAGUAGCUGUGCUACAGGCCUUCCAGGUGCUGCAGGCUGCAACAGAGGGGGCCUGUUGAGAGUCAUGAACCCUCACAGUGACUUCAGGAAGAAAGGAUCAACACCAGCACUCACCAUCACUUGGAUGUCAAGAUUCAGGGUCUGCAAAUGA
rnacentral:lncRNA from 13 species